GAGCUCACUUCGGAAGCACAUAUACUAAAAGUGGAACAAUAUACAAAAGAUUAGCAUGGCCCCCACUAAACUAUCACCUAAAAAUUCAUGCAGCAUUCCAUAUUUAA
ensembl:snRNA U6 U6 spliceosomal RNA